CUGCUGGACCGUAACUGACGUUGAUGCUCGAAAGUGUGGGUAUCAAACAGGAUUAGAUACCCUGGUAGUCCACACGGUAAACGAUGGAUACUCGCUGUUGGCGAUAUACAGUCAGCGGCCAAGCGAAAGCAUUAAGUAUCCCACCUGGGGAGUACGCCGGCAACGGUGAAACUCAAAGGAAUUGACGGGGGCCCGCACAAGCGGAGGAACAUGUGGUUU
rnacentral:rRNA from 1 species